rnacentral:rRNA from 1 species
UGAACCUGCCGUUGGAUCAGUUCUAGUUUUAAUACCUAACACCAACUUCUUUUAGUAAACAAAAACCAAUACAAAAUUAAAAACUAACCUCAUCAAAAACCAAGUCUCUAAGCAAUGGAUGUCUUGGCUCCUCACACGAUGAAGAACGUGGCAUAAUGUGUUAAGUAACCGGAGUUGCAAACAUCAUGACAGGUUAAUCUUUGAAUGCAAAUUGCGCUAAACUCGAUCUCGGUCGAGAAGCAUGGGUGUGACAGUACUACAUCUUUUAUAAUAAUUCUUAUUCUAAGCGAAUAAGUAAAUAAUAUAUAAGACAAACAACACGUAGUCUGCCAUACGCAGGAAGACCCGCUGAACUGAAGCAUCUCAUUAAGCGG